rnacentral:tRNA from 1 species
GCGGGUAUAGUAUAGCAGUAGUACGGGACCCUUCCAAGGUUCAAGCAGGGGUGCAAAUCCCCUUACCCGCU